GAGUGGCGAACGGGUGAGUAACACGUGGGUAACCUGCCCAUCAGAAGGGGAUAACACUUGGAAACAGGUGCUAAUACCGUAUAACAAUCAAAACCGCAUGGUUUUGAUUUGAAAGGCGCUUUCGGGUGUCGCUGAUGGAUGGACCCGCGGUGCAUUAGCUAGUUGGUGAGGUAACGGCUCACCAAGGCCACGAUGCAUAGCCGACCUGAGAGGGUGAUCGGCCACAUUGGGACUGAGACACGGCCCAAACUCCUACGGGAGGCAGCAGUAGGGAAUCUUCGGCAAUGGACGAAAGUCUGACCGAGCAACGCCGCGUGAGUGAAGAAGGUUUUCGGAUCGUAAAACUCUGUUGUUAGAGAAGAACAAGGAUGAGAGUAACUGUUCAUCCCUUGACGGUAUCUAACCAGAAAGCCACGGCUAACUACGUGCCAGCAGCCGCGGUAAUACGUAGGUGGCAAGCGUUGUCCGGAUUUAUUGGGCGUAAAGCGAGCGCAGGCGGUUUCUUAAGUCUGAUGUGAAAGCCCCCGGCUCAACCGGGGAGGGUCAUUGGAAACUGGGAGACUUGAGUGCAGAAGAGGAGAGUGGAAUUCCAUGUGUAGCGGUGAAAUGCGUAGAUAUAUGGAGGAACACCAGUGGCGAAGGCGGCUCUCUGGUCUGUAACUGACGCUGAGGCUCGAAAGCGUGGGGAGCAAACAGGAUUAGAUACCCUGGUAGUCCACGCCGUAAACGAUGAGUGCUAAGUGUUGGAGGGUUUCCGCCCUUCAGUGCUGCAGCUAACGCAUUAAGCACUCCGCCUGGGGAGUACGACCGCAAGGUUGAAACUCAAAGGAAUUGACGGGGGCCCGCACAAGCGGUGGAGCAUGUGGUUUAAUUCGAAGCAACGCGAAGAACCUUACCAGGUCUUGACAUCCUUUGACCACUCUAGAGAUAGAGCUUCCCCUUCGGGGGCAAAGUGACAGGUGG
rnacentral:rRNA from 1 species